GACGAACGCUGGCGGCGUGCCUAAUACAUGCAAGUAGAACGCAGUCGGGUACGUGAGAGUAACGCGUAGGUAACUGCCUGGGAGCGGGGGAUAACUAUUGGAAACGAUAGCCAAUACCGCAUACUACCAUGAGGACCUGCGUUGUAUGAGCUAGUUGGUGGGGUAACGGCACACCAAGGCAACGAUACAUAGCCGACCUGAGAGGGUGAUCGGCCACACUGGGACUUGGACACGGCCCAGACUCCUACGGGAGGCAGCAGUGGGGAAUCUUCGGCAAUGGGGGGAACCCUGACCGAGCAACGCCGCGUGAGUGAAGAAGGUUUUCGGGUCGUAAAGCUCUGUUAUUAAGGAAGCGGUACUUGACCAGAAAGCGACGGCUAACUACGUGCCAGCAGCCGCGGUAAUAC
rnacentral:rRNA from 1 species